GAUGAACGCUGGCGGCGUGCUUAACACAUGCAAGUCGAACGGUGAGGACGUACCUUGCUGUGGGGCUCGAGUGGCGAACGGGUGAGUAACACGUGAGUAACCUGCCCUUGACUCUGGGAUAACCGCUGGAAACUGCGGCUAAUACCGGAUAGGAGACGUGGCCGCAUGGUGGGCGUUGGGAAAGUUCGGUCGGUUGGGGAUGGGCUCGCGGCCUAUCAGCUGGUUGGUGAGGUAAUGGCUCACCAAGGCGUCGACGGGUAGCCGGCCUGAGAGGGUGACCGGCCACAGUGGGAUUGAGAUACGGCCCAGACUCCUACGGGAGGCAGCAGUGGGGAAUAUUGCACAAUGGGCGAAAGCCUGAUGCAGCAACGCCGCGUGCGGGAUGACGGCCUUCGGGUUGUAAACCGCUUUUGGCUGGGAAGAAGCGAGAGUGACGGUACUGGGUGAAGAAGCACCGGCUAACUACGUG
rnacentral:rRNA from 1 species